AAAAUCCAAAUUACGUUGGAACAAAGCUCGGUAAAAAACCCAUGAAAAUCGAAAGCACGAGCAUUGCCUAAAAUUAAUGUUUCAUUGGCUACAAAAUGCAAGUGAGCUCAAUUGCAAAAAUGCGAGGGAAAAACCCUUGCAAUUCGAAAGCCAGAUAAAGAGUGGACUGACAGAUGAGACUUUUACCCAGCACAACACCCUCUCUACAUGCGGUGGAACUGUCGAAACUGUCUGCAAAGCGCCAUUGAAACAGGGAAAUGUCGUAGUAACAACCUCAACAAUUUCUUCUCCCCAAGCUACGAAGACGCAUCAUGGGUAACGCACUUGGAAAUACGAGGAUGGCUCUAGAUUAUCCAAGAGAAGUCACAAUACUUGUUAACAAAAUCACAUCUCCUGUUCUGGGAGUUGAGGUUAGAAAAGUGGAAGAUAAAGGAUGCCGCAGUAAACACGACCUAACAAAAAUAAAAGGAUGGACUUAAUGCGUUUUAAA